AUUGAACGCUGGCGGCAUGCCUUACACAUGCAAGUCGAACGGCAGCACGGGGCAACCUGGUGGCGAGUGGCGAACGGGUGAGUAAUGCAUCGGAACGUACCUUUCAGUGGGGGAUAACGUAGCGAAAGUUACGCUAAUACCGCAUAUUCUGUGAGCAGGAAAGCAGGGGAUCGCAAGACCUUGCGCUGAUUGAGCGGCCGAUGUCAGAUUAGCUAGUUGGUGAGGUAAAGGCUCACCAAGGCGACGAUCUGUAGCGGGUCUGAGAGGAUGAUCCGCCAAACUGGAACAGAGACACGGUCCAGACUCCUACGGGAGGCAGCAGUGGGGAAUUUUGGACAAUGGGCGCAAGCCUGAUCCCGCCAUGCCGCGUGAGUGAAGAAGGCCUUCGGGUUGUAAAGCUCUUUCGGCCGGGAAGAAAUCGUAUGGGUUAAUACCCUGUGCGGAUGACGGUACCGGCAUAAGAAGCACCGGCUAACUACGUGCCAGCCGCCGCGGUAAUAC
rnacentral:rRNA from 1 species